CAGGAUGAACGCUAGCGGCGCGCUUAAUGCAUGCAAGUCGAGCGAUGAGACUCCUACGGGAGCACAUCAGCGGCAGACGGGUGAGUAACACGUAGAUGACGUACCCUCAAGACGGGGAUAACGGAUGGAAACAUGCGCUAAUACCGGAUGACCUUACGAUGUCAGAAUGGUAAGGAAAGCUACGGCGCUUGAGGAGCGGUCUGCGGCCCAUCAGCUAGUUGGUAGGGUAAAGGCCUACCAAGGCGAAGACGGGUAGGGGGUGUGAGAGCACGGUCCCCCACAAUGGGACUGAGACACGGCCCAUACUCCUACGGGAGGCAGCAGCAGGGAAUAUUGCACAAUGGACGGAAGUCUGAUGCAGCGACGCCGCGUGAGUGAAGAAGGCCUUCGGGUUGUAAAACUCUUUUGAGGGGGAAGAGCGAGGACGGUACCCCUGGAAUAAGCGUCGGCUAACUACGUGCCAGCAGCCGCGGUAAGACGUAGGACGCGAGCGUUAUCCGGAUUUACUGGGCGUAAAGCGUCUGUAGGCGGAUGUGUAAGUUGGGCGUGAAAGCUCCGGGCUUAACCCGGAGAGGCCGUUCAAUACUGCAUAACUUGAGGGUGUCAGAGGGGAGCGGAAUUCCCGGUGUAGCGGUAAAAUGCGCAGAGAUCGGGAGGAACACCAGUGGCGGAGGCGGUUCCCUGGGGCACACCUGACGCUGAGAGACGAAAGCUAGGGGAGCGAACAGGAUUAGAGAGCCUGGUAGUCCUAGGGCUAAACGAUGAAUGCUAGGUGUGGGAUCGA
rnacentral:rRNA from 1 species